AAGAGUUUAUCCAUUCCUGUUUCUCCCUUUACUCUACUGCCCACUCAGCUAUCCCAUUUUCUCAGCCCUAGGACCAUAUUCCCAUUUGCUUCUCACACGCCAUCCAAAAAGGCUCUGCCUUUAUAGACAGAGCCUUCACCCUCACUAUCCCACUGUCCUUGGUAAUAGAGCUACCAAACUUCUUUGCACAUAUACUGCCAAUAACCACCACGGAAAACUCCCAUAACUCUGUAUACCCCAAAACUUGGCCAAGCCACCAUAUGUGUCACCUCUUCCAACAAACACAUACACAUAGGCACCAUCCCUCCCUCUGCCUGUGGUUCUACUCAAACCAUCUCCCAUCCCUCACUCUCCCCUGAAGCUAACGGCCCUUUUUACCCAGACCCUCCACAUUACCUCCUCUCCUGCCUCUCAAACAUGGAAACCCCUUCCUGAGACAGGAGUUCUCAAAGGGGUCUCUCUCUCCCCCUCACUCUGGGUUGCUAAAGCUGGACCAGUUCCCUCCAAAUAAGGAACCUACACACUCCAACACCUAUUCUGAAUCCCUUGUCCAUUUACAUUAACACCAGAGGCAUCUUCUUCCUCUGAGAUCCAUAACCUAUUUCUGUCUCCCUACCAACUAGACAGGUACUUGCACCCUAAUCUACCUCCAACAUUAAAUUAACCUUGUCCUCCAAACCAAAAAACUCCCUGUCCCUACUAUACUACACGCCUACCCCCACUAAAAAAAUAUAUAGUUCAUUCCCUUAUUAGUAGCCCUUAAAGUCACAACUAGUGUCAGGUUAGAAGCAGGAAGUCUAAAAACCUUGUUAUCAUAUUUCUAGUUGCUCUCCCAAAAUUUCCAAUUGUCAGUAAAAAAAAAAAAAGAAACCAUAGCAAAGUCUAUCACUAACCUUCAAAACCAACUAGACUCUUUAAAUCAAUCACUUUACAAAAACCUCAGAGGCCUAGGCCACCUCACUGCUGGGGAAAAAGUCUGUGCCUCUUUUUAAAUAACCAAUGCUGUUUUUACCUCAGUAAAUCUAGAUUAUACAAAAUACUAUCAAAAGGCUCAAAGACAAAACCCAAAAAAUUUAAAAGACAUUCUACUGCCUGGCCCUGCUGGCCCGGUUGGUCUCUCAGCUCCUGGGCUCCCUAGCUGCUUCCCCUCCUCAGCCCUGCUAUAACUCUCCUCCUCCUCUUGGUCUUUGGCCCUUGCCUCUUACGCCUUUUCACCCAGUUUUUUACAGAAUCAGUUACAAGCUUUUACCUGUGGCACAUUACAGGACAUGAUGGUGUUCUAGGACUACCAACUUGCAAGCCAGCCUCACCCCAACCAGCGUCCCUACUCAGCAUGAAGCAGCUAAAAACAAACGGUGCCCCUUUUCUCAUACACACACACACACACACACACACACACACACACAUCAAUCAAAAGGCUAGAAUGGUAGGGUCACAGCAAGGCAAACCCAUAGACCCCCUUUGACAUUCUCCCCUGCUAAGCCGAGCUCAUGCCCUGUAAACAGGGCACCUAGGUUCCAGGAUGUGGUCGCACCAAGCUCUCAAACCCAGAAUGUUGACCCAAUUUAGCAGAAUGUUAGCCCCUAAGAGCCAAGAUGUGGUUUUUCUUAGAACAGCACCUGGCUACCUGCAAACUCCUAUAUAACCCCCAUAUAGUCCAUAAGCCAGGCUGCUGCCUUCACUGCCUGUGGUGAGGCAGCCAGCCUGGCAGGUUGAAAUAAACUUGCUAAACCUGACCCUGGGUCUGCCUGUCCAUCCUUUUAGUCAACCUUACAACAGCUGACAGCUGUUACCAGUGCUGUCUCUGAAAAGUGCUUAACCUGUGCACAAAACAACCCUAGACAAGGACCAGGCCGGCCCCCAGGAAUUCACCCUCUGUGAGAACCUGAUUGUAGAUUUUACUGAGUUACCCUGUAAGAGGUCUUAAGUAUUUAUUGAUCUUUGUAUGCCCCUAUUCCAAGUGGGUAAAGGUUUUCCCCAACUGAAAAGGCCUGAGAAGUAACUGGGUGUUACUAGUGCUCAUUAUUUACAAGUUUGAGGUGCCUUUGACUAUCGGGUCAGAUAAUUGCCCAGUAUUUGUAGCUGAAGUUGUUUAACACCUAUCCCAGUUAUUAAAAACAAGAUGGAAGUUGCAUAUUACAUACUGUCCCAAGAGUUCAGGAAAAGUUGAAAGGAUGAACCAAGCAAUAAAGCAAUUGUUAAAAAAAACAAUUCUGUCUAGUAACCCACCUAAAGUGAGACCAGGCUCUACCCAUGGUUCUCCUUCAAAUCAGAUGCACCCAGAAAAAAAGCCAGGAUACUCACCCUACAAAGUUAUGUUUGGAAGGCCGCCCCCUCUCAUUACCAAAAUUAAAGGAGAUCUCAAAGAAACAGGAGCACUAAUAUGGAGAAGACAAAUGUAGGCCUUAGGUACAGCUAUGAAAGAAGUACAAAGUUGGAUGCAAGAAAGAUUGCCAGUAAGUCUAGCCCAGUCCACCCAUCCCAACCACAUUAGGACGGGCCCUUUAUUGUAAUCUUAUCUACCCCCACUGCUGUUAAGGUUGCUGAAGUUGUUCCCUGGAUCCAUCACAGCUGGUUAAAGCAAGCUGCUGCCCAGGACACAUGGACCAGCCAGCCAGACCCGGGUCAACCCACCAAACCAACCUUAAGACGAAUGGCAAACAGAGACCAAACUCAGACCAGCCUGACCUCAGACACAACUGAUAAUGAAGAAUCAUCAAGCCCUGCUCUUGUCACAUAACCGAAAGCUGAGUAGUCAACGCACUAGCUGACGCUUGAGGAAUCUCCACCAGAUAAAUAAAGGUGGUAAGACUCCAGGAGAAAGACACUGGCAAGUGUUAGAGGAAAAGAGGCAAGUUUAUCCGAAAGCGUUACGGAAAUCCCCGAAAAAGGACAAUGCAAAGGCCCGGAGGAUUUGCUGACGUGGGGAAGGGGGUAUGCUUGUAUUUUUGGAGAUGGACAAACCGUGUGGGUGCCCUCCAAGUAUGUUUGACCAUGGAACAGGACACUGGAGGGAUCCAUGGUGGCCAACUGUGGGCCCAGUCCCUCCAGUAUGAACCAUGAGCCAACUGGAUCUGAAUUCGAAGAUGGAACAAGGGCCAACCACAGUCACAAUCACAACCAAACCCAUAACAUGGGGACAGAUCAUGAAAAUCAUAUAGGAGGCUGAGAAACUGAUGGAGCACCAGGGUCAGGCAAAAACCCUGACUCCAUGUUCGCCGUGGUGUCCUAUGUGGUAUGUUUCCCCUAUGUAGAGGCAAAAACAUAUUGGACGUAUGUUCUGUUCCCAACCCUCCACCUGAAAUGUAUCACGAUCAGGAAGCAUAGGCUCCAGGAGCCAUGACUGCCCCGGACACAGAACAACUAAACUCUCAUUUAUGAAACGGAGCAUCUGGGUCAGAACACUAUUCAAUAAUAGUAAUUCUGUUCAACGUACUUUAAUAUCACCUUCGUUAGAAACAUUACCACUCAAUUUACAGUCUGUGUCUUCAAUCCUUAUGUUUUUCUAGUGGCUUUAAAAAAGGUCAACUCCAGGUAAAUGUCACCCAACUGACUUCUGUCUCUUGUCAAUUUUAUUAUUGCCUUAAUCAUAGCACUAUAUGAAAACAGAACAUAUCCACCCUAAUAAUUCUUCGUCAUAUUCCUGGAUUAUGGAUUCCUGUCAAUUUGUCUGACCCAUGGGCUGCUACGCUCGCUUUACAUUUCGUGAACCUUCUUACCAGCUCACUUGUCACGCUCGUAGAGCCUUAGGCAUGAUCAUUUUUGCUACAGUCUCCUUGGUCACACUGAUAACUUCUGUUGUGGUGUCCUCAGUAGCACUAGUUUGAUUCAAACAGCCCAAUAUGUAGAAAGUUGGACACGUACAGCUGAUCAGACAUGGAUGCUCCAAGAUAAAAUUGAUGUGGAAUUACAAACAGAAGUAGCAAUGCUAAAGUCUACUGUUUUGUGGCUGAGAGAACAAGUACAAAGUUUGCAAUUGCAGCAGCAAUUGCACGGUCAUUUUUACCAUACUCACAUUUGUGUAACCAAUUUGGAAUACAAUUAAAGUGAAUAUCCAUGGAACCUCAGAAGCUUUUACAUCCAAUGUUACUUUGAUAUCAGUGAUUUA